GGUAGUGAUGGCUCAGUGGUUAAGGCAUUGGAUUACUAAUCAGACACCCGUGAGUUCAAAUCCCAGCACCACUG